UGAUAGCUGUGAAGCGUGAGGUUGCUGCGAGCAGAUCGCAGGUUUUCCGUGGAGCGAAUGUCAAGUUAGAAAACUGGCGACAA
rnacentral:ncRNA from 1 species